UAUUUCUGCCACCGAAUACAUUAGCAUGGGAUAAUGGAAUAGGACCCUGACCUCCUAUUUUCAGUUGGUUUUAACUUACAGCGAGGUUCAUAUCAGGGUAAUGAUUAAUAGGGAUAGUUGGGGGCAUUAAUAUUUAAUUGUCAGAGGUGAAAUUCUUGGAUUUAUGAAAGAUUAACUUCUGCGAAAGCGUUUGCCAAGGAUGUUUUCAUUAAUCAAGAACGAAAGUUAGGGGAUCGAAGACGAUCAGAUACCGUCGUAGUCUUAACCAUAAACGAUGCCGACCAGCGAUUAGGAGACGUUGAAUACAAAACACCGCCAUUGAUCCUCUCGGGGGUUAAUGGUUGGUGAAUGACUCCCCUAGC
rnacentral:rRNA from 1 species